UUAUAAGAGACAGCAGCCGCCACGGUAAUACAGAGGGUGCGAGCGUUAAUCGGAUUUACUGGGCGUAAAGCGUGCGUAGGCGGCUUUUUAAGUCGGAUGUGAAAUCCCUGAGCUUAACUUAGGAAUUGCAUUCGAUACUGGGAAGCUAGAGUAUGGGAGAGGAUGGUAGAAUUCCAGGUGUAGCGGUGAAAUGCGUAGAGAUCUGGAGGAAUACCGAUGGCGAAGGCAGCCAUCUGGCCUAAUACUGACGCUGAGGUACGAAAGCAUGGGGAGCAAACAGGAUUAGAGACCCCGGUAGUCCCUGUCUCUUAUAA
rnacentral:rRNA from 1 species